rnacentral:rRNA from 1 species
UACGUAGGGUGCGAGCGUUAAUCGGAAUUACUGGGCGUAAAGCGUGCGCAGGCGGUCCGCAAAGUCUGAUGUGAAAGCCCCGGGCUCAACCUGGGAACUGCAUUGGAAACUAACGGGCUCGAGUGUGGCAGAGGGGGGUGGAAUUCCACGUGUAGCAGUGAAAUGCGUAGAGAUGUGGAGGAACACCGAUGGCGAAGGCAGCCUUCUGGGCCAACACUGACGCUCAUGCACGAAAGCGUGGGGAGCAAACAGG